GACGAACGCUGGCGGCGUGCCUAAUACAUGCAAGUCGAACGCUGAAGGAGGAGCUUGCUUCUCUGGAUGAGUUGCGAACGGGUGAGUAACGCGUAGGUAACCUGCCUGGUAGCGGGGGAUAACUAUUGGAAACGAUAGCUAAUACCGCAUAAGAGUAGAUGUUGCAUGACAUUUGCUUAAAAGGUGCAAUUGCAUCACUACCAGAUGGACCUGCGUUGUAUUAGCUAGUUGGUGGGGUAACGGCUUACCAAGGCGACGAUACAUAGCCGACCUGAGAGGGUGAUCGGCCACACUGGGACUGAGACACGGCCCAGACUCCUACGGGAGGCAGCAGUAGGGAAUCUUCGGCAAUGGACGGAAGUCUGACCGAGCAACGCCGCGUGAGUGAAGAAGGUUUUCGGAUCGUAAAGCUCUGUUGUAAGAGAAGAACGAGUGUGAGAGUGGAAAGUUCACACUGUGACGGUAUCUUACCAGAAAGAGACGGCUAACUACGUG
rnacentral:rRNA from 1 species